UACGUAGGGUGCAAGCGUUAUUCGGAAUUACUGGGCGUAAAGCGUGCGCAGGCGGCUUUGCAAGUCAGAUGUGAAAUCCCCGGGCUUAACCUGGGAACUGCAUUUGUGACUGCAAGGCUAGAGUACGGUAGAGGGGGAUGGAACUCCGCGUGUAGCAGUGAAAUGCGUAGAUAUGCGGAGGAACACCGAUGGCGAAGGCAAUCCCCUGGACCUGUACUGACGCUCAUGCACGAAAGCGUGGGGAGCAAACAGG
rnacentral:rRNA from 1 species